GGAUAAACGACUAGGCGGCGGCACAUAAGACAUAGCAAGUCGAACGAACUUAAAUUCGUAAUGUUUACAUUUGGUAAGCGGUUAGUGGCGGACUGGUGAGUAACACGUAAGCAACCUGCCUGUUAGAGGGGAAGUAACAAGUGAGAAAUCAUUGCUAAUACCGCAUAUGCCAUAAAGACCACGUGGUUUAGUGGAAAGGAGAAAUCCGCUAACAGAUGGGCUUGCGUCUGAUUAGAUAGUUGGUGGGGUAAAGGCCUACCAAGUCGACGAUCAGUAGCCGAACUGAGAGGUUGAACGGCCACAUUGGGACUGAGAUACGGCCCAGACUCCUACGGGAGGCAGCAGUCGGGAAUAUUGCACAAUGGAGGAAACUCUGAUGCAGUGACGCCGCGUGCAGGAAGAAGGUUUUCGGAUUGUAAACUGCUUUAGACAGGGAAGAAACAAGACAGUACCCGUAGAAUAAGCUCCGGCUAACUACGUG
rnacentral:rRNA from 1 species